CGAUAAAGUACCGAGUAGCGAGGACUAAGCGAGUAUUCAAACAGUUUAAAGAUAUUACUCGUCAUAAUUAUUUUUUAAAUUAUUAAGCCUCAAUAUGGCUUGGCUUCUGUUAAAUUAAAAAUUCAUCGAGGAGCAAAAAAUGUUACUAUCGUAAGAUACAAACCAACAAACCUUAUUAAAAAUCUUAAAAGAAAGAAACACUUAUAAAGAAUAUAGUCUCCAAUCUGUAUAACAAAAGGAUGUGAAAAGGCGAAGCCUAUUGAUGACAUGAGAUCACAAGUUUUCUAAUUCCCAAACCAAUGAUAUGAUUUGGUAAGAUGUACACAGUACCUACUACCUAGUCAUAGGAUGAAAACAUUUAAUCAAUCUCGUCAACAUCAAGAACGGAUGACAAGUCUGACAAAUCAGC